rnacentral:misc_RNA from 1 species
GGAGCAAGCUACUUUGUCAAGAAGCUUAACUGGAGCGACAAGUUAUUCCAACUGGGAAGCCAUGAUAAAUUUGAUCAAGAGCUUAAAGUUUUAGGGAAAUUGAGCGAUUCAAAUGUCAUGACUCCAUUGGCAUAUUUAUUGACUGCUGAUAGUGCUUUUCUCUUCUAUGAGCAUACUCGGACGGGUACCCUAUUAGAUGUUCUUCAUGGUAAAGGGGGAAAUGCUUUGGACUGGGAAAGCCGUUACAGUAUAGCAGUCGGAGUGGCUCAGGGUCUUAACUUUCUGCAUGGACGUACUUCUGGACCGAUUCUCCUUCUUGACCUUUCAAGCAGAAAUAUUUUGCUGAAGUCCCUGAAGGAGCCUCUAGUAGGAGACAUUGAACUCUGCAAAGUGAUCGAUCCCGCAAAGAGCACUGGUAACCUUUCAACAGUUGCUGGUUCCGUUGGCUAUAUACCACCAGAAUAUGCUUACACAAUGAGAGUCACAAUGGCGGGGAACGUAUAUAGCUUUGGGGUUGUUCUACUGGAACUGGUUACAGGAAAGCCAGCAGUUAGCGAGGGAAUUGAAUUAGCUAAGUGGGUCUUACAUAACUCAAAGCAGCUGAAUAAGUGGGAUCACAUCCUUGAUUUUAACAUCAGUAAAACUUCACUGGAAGUCAGAGGCCAAAUGCUUGCCAUACUUAAGAUUGCUCUCAGUUGCGUCAGUGUUUCACCAGAAGAAAGGCCAAAAAUGAAGACUGUGUUAAGGAUGAUCCUCAAUGCACGAUGAAUCCCAGCCUCAUGAAACAAAUCUGCCUAUUAGUGUGUAUAAGAUCGAUCAUCUCAGUUUUGGUUAUGUCCAAUCAUUCUAGGUAAUAGAAAAGCCAAUAUAUCAAUAUUGCAGUUGUUUGCGGCCAACCUGCAUGUAUACUGAGUACAUGCGUAGCAAUUUUAGGUAAUAUAAUUUAUCAGUUCUCUUUCUAAUCAUCUGUCAUCCCUGCAUAAAAAGGUUGUCUAAGCUUGUUUCUGUUAAAAAAUUCUUCUGAAGUACAUU